ACGAACGCUGGCGGCGUGCUUAACACAUGCAAGUCGAGCGGAAAGGCCCUUCGGGGUACUCGAGCGGCGAACGGGUGAGUAACACGUGAGUAACCUGCCCCAGACUUUGGGAUAACCCUCGGAAACGGGGGCUAAUACCGGAUACGACACAGCUUCGCAUGGGGUCUGUGUGGAAAGUUUUUUGGUUUGGGAUGGGCUCGCGGCCUAUCAGCUUGUUGGUGGGGUGAUGGCCUACCAAGGCGACGACGGGUAGCCGGCCUGAGAGGGCGACCGGCCACACUGGGACUGAGACACGGCCCAGACUCCUACGGGAGGCAGCAGUGGGGAAUAUUGCACAAUGGGCGGAAGCCUGAUGCAGCGACGCCGCGUGAGGGAUGACGGCCUUCGGGUUGUAAACCUCUUUCAGCAGGGACGAAGCGUAAGUGACGGUACCUGCAGAAGAAGCGCCGGCCAACUACGUG
rnacentral:rRNA from 1 species